UGAGUACGAGAUGCUAAGGCGUCGAAGUAGUGUAUGUCAUACUUCCAAGAAAAGCUUGCACUGUCAUAAGUAAAAAAUGCCUGUACCAUAACCGACACAGGUGGGUAGGUAGAGUAUACUAAGGGGCGCGAGAUAACUCUCUCUAAGGAACUCGGCAAAAUAACUCCGUAACUUCGGGAGAAGGAGUGCCUUAUUCGUAAGGCUGCAAUAACAAGAUCCAAGCAACUGUUUAUCAAAAACACAGGUCUCCGCUAAGUCGUAAGACGAUGUAUGGGGGCUGACGCCUGCCCAGUGCCAGAAGGUUAAAGAAGUUGGUUAGCAUUAGCGAAGCUGAUAACUGAAGCCCUGGUGAACGGCGGCCGUAACAAUAACGGUCCUAAGGUAGCGAAAUUCCUUGUCGGGUAAGUUCCGACCCGCACGAAAGGCGUAAUGAUUUGGAUACUGUCUCGGAGAGGGGCUCGGUGAAAUAGACUUGUCUGUGAAGAUGCGGACUACCUGCACCAGGACAGAAAGACCCUAUGAAGCUUUACUGUAACUUGAAAUUGAAAUUGGACUUUAGUCGCGCAGUAUAGGUGGGAGGCUUUGAUGAUAUUCUUGCGGGAAUAUUGGAGCUAUCAGUGAGAUACCACUCUUCUAAUGUUAGAUUUCUAACUUUGAACCAUUAUCUGGUCAGAGAACAGUUUCAGGCGGGCAGUUUGACUGGGGCGGUCGCCUCCCAAAUGGUAACGGAGGCGUACAAAGGUUUCCUCUGAACGGGUAGAAAUCGUAUCUAGAGUGUAAAGGCAUAAGGAAGCUUGACUGUGAGACCUACAAGUCGAACAGGGACGAGAGACGGUCUUAGUGAUCUGACGGUACUGAGUGGAAAGGCCGUCACUCAACGGAUAAAAGUUACUCUAAGGAUAACAGGCUGAUCUCCCCCAAGAGUUCACAUCGACGGGGAGGUUUGGCACCUCGAUGUCGGCUCAUCGCAUCCUGGGGCGGUAGUACGUCCCAAGGGUUGGGCUGUUCGCCCAUGAAAGCGGUACGCGAGCUGGGUUCAGAACGUCGUGAGACAGUUCGGUCCAUAUCCGGUGUAGGCGUUAGAAUAUUGAGAGGAGCCUUCUUUAGUACGAGAGGACCGAGAAGGACAUACCUAUGGUGUACCAGUUAUCGUGCCAACGGUAAACGCUGGGUAGCUAAGUAUGGAGUGGAUAACCGCUGAAAGCAUCUAAGUGGGAAGCCCACCUCGAGAUGAGUAUUCCC
rnacentral:rRNA from 1 species